rnacentral:rRNA from 1 species
UACGAGAGGUGCGAGCGUUAUUCGGAAUUAUUGGGCGUAAAGGGCGUGUAGGCGGCUUGUUAAGUCAGUUGUUAAAUUUCCCGGCCUAACCGGGAGUCAGCAACAGAUACUGGCGAGCUUGAGGUUGGAAGAGAGGAGCGGAAUUCUCGGAGUAGCGGUAAAAUGCGUAGAUCUCGAGAGGAACACCGAUGGCGAAGGCAGCUCCUUGGUCCACACCUGACGCUGAGGCGCGAAAGCGUGGGGAGCAAACAGG